GGGUGUACGCGCUACAGGGGCGCGGCAGGUUCAGCGUCGGUCGGGCCGCCACG
rnacentral:ncRNA from 18 species